rnacentral:rRNA from 1 species
ACGUAGGGUGCAAGCGUUAAUCGGAAUUACUGGGCGUAAAGGGCGCGUAGGCGGCCACCGCAAGUCGACUGUGAAAUCUCCGGGCUUAACUCGGAAAGGUCAGCCGAUACUGCGGGGCUAGAGUGCAGAAGGGGCAACUGGAAUUCUCGGUGUAGCGGUGAAAUGCGUAGAUAUCUGGAGGAACAUCAGUGGCGAAGGCGGCUUUCUGGCCAAACACUGACGCUGAGGUGCGAAAGCGUGGGGAGCAAACAGGA